rnacentral:rRNA from 1 species
UACGUAGGGUGCAAGCGUUGUCCGGAAUCAUUGGGCGUAAAGAGCUCGUAGGUGGUUUGUCGCGUUGUUCGUGAAAACUCACAGCUCAACUGUGGGCGUGCGGGCGAUACGGGCAGACUGGAGUACUGCAGGGGAGACUGGAAUUCCUGGUGUAGCGGUGGAAUGCGCAGAUAUCAGGAGGAACACCGGUGGCGAAGGCGGGUCUCUGGGCAGUAACUGACGCUGAGGAGCGAAGGCGUGGGGAGCGAACAGG